UACGGGGGGGGCUAGCGUUGCUCGGAAUCACUGGGCGUAAAGGGUGCGUAGGCGGCGCGGUAAGUCGGGUGUGAAAUCUUGGAGCUUAACUCCGAAACUGCAUUCGAUACUGCCGUGCUUGAGGACUGGAGAGGAGACUGGAAUUUACGGUGUAGCGGUGAAAUGCGUAGAUAUCGUAAGGAAGACCAGUGGCGAAGGCGGGUCUCUGGACAGUUCCUGACGCUGAGGCACGAAGGCCAGGGGAGCAAACGGG
rnacentral:rRNA from 1 species